GGAGAGAUGCCAGAGCGGUCGAAUGGGGCGGUCUCGAAAACCGUUGUCCGCUUUCCGCGGACCCAGGGUUCGAAUCCCUGUCUCUCCGCCA
rnacentral:tRNA from 1 species